GCCAAACAACUAGCUUUAUAAUCAAGAUAACUCUACACUAUAAAUAAACAAAGAUUUAACCAAAUCAAUCCACCAAAACAUUUUCAACCUUAGUAUGGGAGACAGAAAAGGCCACACAAAGCAAUAGAAAAAGUACCGCAAGGGAAAGUUGAAAGAGAAAUGAAACAACCCAUAUAAGCCACAAAAAUCAAAGACUAAAUCUUGUACCUUUUGCAUCAUGAUUUAGCCAGUCAACCCAAGCAAAGAGACCUUUAGUUUGAAACCCCGAAACCAAGUGAGCUACCCCAAGACAGCCUAUAUUAAUUUAGGGCCAACCCAUCUCUGUGGCAAAAGAGUGGGAAGAGCUUUGGGUAGAGGUGACAGACCUAUCGAACUUGGUGAUAGCUGGUUGUCUGGGAGAUGAAUAUAAGUUCAGCCUCGUACGCCCUAGACCAAAACUACAAAUAAGACACAAAGGAAAAAUACGAGAGUUAGUUUAAGGAGGUACAGCCCCUUAAACAAAGGAUACAACCUUAACAGAAGAAUAAAGAUCAUAAUACCCAAAACACAUUGUCCCAGUGGGCCUAAAAGCAGCCACCAAAACAGAAAGCGUUAAAGCUCAAACAAACAAAAGUUUAUUAUACCAAUAAAUAAUCUUAAUUCCCCUAAAAUACCAGACCAUUCCAUGCACCCAUGGAAGAAAUUAUGCUAAAAUGAGUAACAAGAAGAACUCAACCUUCUCCACGCACAAGUGUAAGUCAGAUCGGACCCACCACUGACAAUUAACGAACCCAAACAAAGAGGGCACUAUGAACAACACAAUUAUCAAGAAAACCCCAUAACAUAUGAUCGUUAUCCUCACACCAGAGUGCAUAAUAGGAAAGACUAAAAGAAUUAAGGAAGGAACUCGGCAAACCCAAGCCUCGCCUGUUUACCAAAAACAUCGCCUCCUGCAAAUUUAAGUAUAGGAGGUCCAGCCUGCCCGGUGACCACAAGUUUAACGGCCGCGGUAUUUUAACCGUGCAAAGGUAGCGCAAUCACUUGUCCUUUAAAUAGGGACCCGUAUGAAUGGUUAGACGAGGGCUUAGCUGUCUCCCUUUUCCAGUCAGUGAAAUUGAUCUAUCCGUGCAGAAGCGGGUAUAAUUAUACAAGACGAGAAGACCCUUUGGAGCUUAAGGUACAAGAAUCACCCAUGUAAAACAAGAUUUUAUAAACUCCAAACCCCAAUGGAAAAUGAGACCAUACCUUCGGUUGGGGCGACCACGGAGUAAAAAUCAACCUCCAAGUGAAGUGGAUAGUAUCCAGAACCAAGAAGCACAAAUCUAAGUAACAGAACAUCUGACCAAACACGAUCCGGCCACAAGACCGAUCAACGAACCAAGUUACCCAAGGGAUAACAGCGCAAUCCCCUUUAAGAGUCCAUAUCGACGAGGGGGUUUACGACCUCGAUGUUGGAUCAGGACAUCCUAAUGGUGCAGCCGCUAUUAAGGGUUCGUUUGUUCAACGAUUAAAGUCCUACGUGAUCUGAGUUCAGACCGGAGUAAUCCAGGUCAGUUUCUAUCUGUAACGCUAAUUUUCCUAGUACGAAAGGACCGGAAAAGGGGGGCUAACCCUAUAAGUACGCCUCACCCUAAAUUAAUGAACCAAAAUAAAUUAAAUCAAGGGGAACAUAA
rnacentral:rRNA from 1 species